AGCGAACGCUGGCGGCAGGCUUAACACAUGCAAGUCGAACGCCCCGCAAGGGGAGUGGCAGACGGGUGAGUAACACGUGGGAACGUACCCUUUGGUUCGGAAUAACUUGGGGAAACUCAAGCUAAUACCGGAUCAGCCCUUAUGGGGAAAGGUUUACUGCCGAAGGAUCGGCCCGCGUCUGAUUAGCUAGUUGGUGAGGUAAUGGCUCACCAAGGCGACGAUCAGUAGCUGGUCUGAGAGGAUGAUCAGCCACCCUGGGACUGAGACACGGCCCAGACUCCUACGGGAGGCAGCAGUGGGGAAUAUUGGACAAUGGGGGCAACCCUGAUCCAGCCAUGCCGCGUGAGUGAUGAAGGCCUUAGGGUCGUAAAGCUCUUUUACCCGGGACGAUAAUGACUGUACCGGGAGAAUAAGCCCCGGCUAACUUCGUGCCAGCCGCCGCGGUAA
rnacentral:rRNA from 1 species